UGGGGAAUAUUGGACAAUGGGCGAAAGCCUGAUCCAGCAAUACCGCGUGUGUGAAGAAGGCCUUCGGGUUGUAAAGCACUUUAAGUUGGGAAGAAAAAACUUUACCUAAUACGUGAAGUCUUGACGGUACCGACAGAAUAAGCACCGGCUAACUCUGUGCCAGCAGCCGCGGUAAUACAGAGGGUGCUAGCGUUAAUCGGAUUUACUGGGCGUAAAGCGUGCGUAGGUGGUUUGAUAAGUCGGUUGUGAAAGCCCCGGGCUCAACCUGGGAAUUGCGGCCGAUACUGUCAGACUCGAAAACGGUAGAGGGAGGUGGAACUCCAGGUGUAGCGGUGAAAUGCGUAGAUAUCUGGAAGAACAUCGAUGGCGAAGGCAGCCUCCUGGGCCUGUUUUGACACUGAGGCACGAAAUCGUGGGUAGCAAACA
rnacentral:rRNA from 1 species